UACGUAGGGUGCAAGCGUUGCCCGGAUUUAUUGGGCGUAAAGGGCGCGUAGGCGGCUCUGCACGUCCGUUGUGAAAUCGCCCGGCUCAACUGGGCGGGGGUCAGCGGAUACGGCGGAGCUUGAGCAAGCUAGGGGGCAAUGGAAUUCCCGGUGUAGUGGUGGAAUGCGUAGAGAUCGGGAGGAACACCCGUGGCGAAGGCGGCCACCUGGGCCGACCCUGACGCUGAGGCGCGAAGGCGUGGGGAGCGAACGGGG
rnacentral:rRNA from 1 species